GCCUGUUUGCUCCUCGCAAUCCUUCUAGUUCUUCAGUUGGCCACUGGAUCAAUUGCCUUCCAUUUGGAUCCAGCACUUACAAAGCAUGCAACAAAGAAAAAUCAUAUCAAAAUAUUCGAAAAUUAUAUAUAAUUAUAAUAAAUAUAAGAUCAAGAUUAUUUCAGGUUCUUAUAUCGAACACUUGAAGAGUAAACAAACCUCAGCAAAAUAUUGAAUGUACAAAGAGAAAAUCGGAAACUUGUCAAGACUUUCAUCAAACUCUUACAAAACAUAUUUUUAAAGGAUUGUUUGUAUAGAACUGUAGGGAAGCUCAAACAACACCUGCUUAUAAAAUGAUAUCAUGAUUUGUUAUUGCAUCUCAUCAUUGUGAAGUUACAUUCAAAUUUAAAUACGGUUUAUACGUUUUACUAACCUGUCCAACAGCAUAUGGAAGAACUGAAUACAUCCUAGCUGCUCUUUCCAGGUAGAAGACAGUUCUUCUCAAUAGCGACAACCGACUGUACUCAGAGGAAGAUAAUGGCUGCGUACACAGAAC
rnacentral:lncRNA from 1 species